rnacentral:tRNA from 1 species
GUCCCCAUCGUCUAGAGGCCUAGGACACUACCCUUUCACGGUAGGUACCGGGGUUCGAAUCCCCGUAGGGACGCCA